rnacentral:piRNA from 1 species
UCUGCAGUCCGGGAUGGCCUUGUCCUCAAUU